rnacentral:rRNA from 1 species
GACGAACGCUGGCGGCGUGCCUAACACAUGCAAGUCGAACGGGACCAGAUGCCAGACAGCGGACAUCAGAAGACAGAUUACAGAUGGCAGAAUACAGAUUCAGAAGAGGGCGUGGAGGAAACCAAGCCUAGAUUCUAAUAUCCUAAGUCUGAGCAUUAGUAUCUGAACUCUGGUAUCUGGCGUCUGAUGUCUGGUCUAGUGGCGGACGGGUGAGUAACGCGUGAGCAACCUGCCUUACAGAGGGGGAUAACAUUCGGAAACAAAUGCUAAUACCGCAUAACAUAUAUUUACGGCAUCGUAGAUAUAUCAAAGGAGCAAUCCGCUGUAAGAUGGGCUCGCGUCCGAUUAGAUAGUUGGUGAGGUAAUGGCUCACCAAGUCUGCGAUCGGUAGCCGGACUGAGAGGUUGAACGGCCACAUUGGGACUGAGACACGGCCCAGACUCCUACGGGAGCAGCAGU